rnacentral:rRNA from 1 species
CCUACGGGAGGCAGCAGUGGGGAAUAUUGGGCAAUGGACGCAAGUCUGACCCAGCGACGCCGCGUGAAGGAAGAAGGCUUUCGGUUUGUAAACCUCUUUUAAGGGGGAAGAGCAGAAGACGGUAUCCCUUGAAUAAGCCACGGCUAACUACGUGCCAGCAGCCGCGGUAAUACGUAGGUGGCAAGCGUUGUCCGGAUUUACUGGGUGUAAAGGGCGUGCAGCUGGGGAGACAAGUCAGAUGUGAAAUCCACGGGCUCAACCAGAGAACUGCAUUUGAAACUGGUUCCCUUGAGUGUCGGUGAGGUAGUCGGAAUUCGUGGUGUAGCGGUGAAAUGCGUAGAUAUCAGGAAGAACACCGAUGGCGAAGGCAGAUUACUAAACGGUAACUGACGGUGAGGCGCGAAAGCGUGGGGAGCAAACAGGAUUAGAUACCCUUGUAGUC